rnacentral:rRNA from 1 species
AGUGAACGCUGGCGGUAGGCCUAACACAUGCAAGUCGAACGGCAGCACAGUAAGAGCUUGCUCUUACGGGUGGCGAGUGGCGGACGGGUGAGGAAUACAUCGGAAUCUACUUUUUCGUGGGGGAUAACGUAGGGAAACUUACGCUAAUACCGCAUACGACCUACGGGUGAAAGCAGGGGAUCUUCGGACCUUGCGCGAUUGAAUGAGCCGAUGUCGGAUUAGCUAGUUGGCGGGGUAAAGGCCCACCAAGGCGACGAUCCGUAGCUGGUCUGAGAGGAUGAGCAGCGACACGGAGAGUGAGACACAGCCCAGACGCCUACGGGAGGCAGCAGUGGCGAAUAGUGGAAAAUGGGCGAAAGCAAGAGCCAGCAAUGCCGCGUGAGUGAUGAAGGCCUUAAGGUUGUAAAGCUCUUUGACCCGGGAUUAUAAUGACAGUACCGAGAGAAUAAGCACCGGCUAACUCCGUG